UACCAGGCAGGUUGCGAGGAAGAUAUUGGGAGGCUCACCUGAUAAAACUGGUGAUGGCCAUGACUUGGCUUCCGGCAUUGCUGAUUCUAGCCUUCACAAACCUGCAAUCUGAACACGUCACAAAUGAUGUCUUGCCUUUUGUGGAUGUACAUCUUGGUCAGUCACAAAUGAUGUCUUGCCUUUUGUGGAUGUACAUCUUGGUCACCUCUGUUUAUCGCUUUUGUGGAUGGAUUGUUCAGCUGGCUUUAGUAGAUGGAAUGACUCUGCACUUGUAGUUGCGUAAUGUUUGUGCUUAGCUGUCUGGAUUGUGCCGGCCAAGAGUUGGCUCUAGGUACCUUGUAAAUAGCUCUGGUUUGGUUGCCUGUCCCUCACUGUAUCAACUAGCCGUAAACUUGGACCAUGUAAUCUUAUUCUGCACCAGUUUCCAGCUGAAACAAGCCUCAACGUCA